ACGCUCGACACCAGGCAGCAGUGGGGAAUAUUGCACAAUGGGGGAAACCCUGAUGCAGCGACGCCGCGUGAGGGAAGAAGGUUUUCGGAUUGUAAACCUCUGUCCUUGGCGAAGAAGGAAGACGGUAGCCAAGGAGGAAGCCACGGCUAACUACGUGCCUGCAGCCGCGGUAAUCUGAGCGGGCUGGCAAGGC
rnacentral:rRNA from 1 species